GGAGCAGCAGUUGACUCCGGAUCGUCUUGAACUUCGUCUGGAACGAAUAUGUGAAGUUAGCCGCACGUUGGAAAGCGAUGCCAGCCGGGUGAACGGUUCAAAAGUUUUUACGUUUCUUUAGAUUUUGCGUUGAUAAAGUGUGCGAGAGUGUGUUUUGAGAGGCAACAGUUCUAUACAGAGGCAUUCAGUCUGCGUUUCCUACGAAUGUGAAGGCUUUGAUGUUUAUGGAGAUGGACGUGUUCUUUGCGGGAAAGGUGAAAGAAGAAAUUCGCGGAGCAGCGGAUCGAUUCGAGGAAGAAACCGUGGGAACAAAAACGACCGGCUGCCGCGAAGGAAGGAAGAAAAAAUAUGCCAUGAAUUGGGAGAAACUCCAGGUCAAAACUGAUCGACGAU